CCUACGGGAGGCUGCAGUGAUGAAUUUUGGUCAAUGGGCGAGAGCCUGAACCAGCCAAGUCGCGUGAAGGAUGACGGCCCUACGGGUUGUAACCUUCUUUUGUCAGGGAGCAAUUUGGUCCACGCGUGGGCUUAGCGAGAGUACCUGACGAAAAAGCAUCGGCUACCUCCGUACCAGCAGCCGCGGUAAUACGGAGGAUGCGGGCGUUCUCCCGAUUUAUUGGGUUUAAAGGGUGCGUAGUCGGAAUAUCAAGUCAGCGGUAAAAAUUCGGGGCUCAACCCCGUCGUGCCGUUGAAACGGAUGGUCUUGAGUGGGCGAGAAGUAGGCGGAAGGCGUGGUGUAGCGGUGAAAUGCAUAGAUAUCACGAAGAACUCCGAUUGCGAAGGCAGCAUACCGGCGCCCAACUGACGCUGAAGCACGAAAGCGUGGGUAUCGAACAGGAUUAGAUACCCUAGUAGUC
rnacentral:rRNA from 1 species